rnacentral:lncRNA from 1 species
UCUGUUGUGGCGCAUGCUAAAUCGGAAACACCCAGGAGAGGGAAUUCUGGGAGACAUACUUCAGCCUAGCCAAGGUGAUGUAUUACAAACCCACCGUGUUUAUUAUGAAAUUGAAUGGUUUGCAUUUGGCUCUGGAGUCAGAUUUCCCAGGUUUGAAUUGCAGCUCCUGUAUUUCAAGAUAAUCCAUUCCCAUUGACAGCCCUUGAUCAGCAAGCCACUGGCCAGCAUAGGAAAUGUGAAGGAGUCAGGCUGAUAGAACAAGAGAAGGACACCUAACUUGAAGGGAGCUAGACUCGACAGGUCAGCUCUCUGUAGUUCCUGUGGCCACACCGGGAAAGAUGAACUUGACUUAACAUGUCACUCCUCAGGAAAUCAUACAGAGUGGUGUAAAUCAGUCAAAGCUGGCCACCCGAACUGAAAUGCCAUGAAGAAGCAAUCAUGGGACAUGUUUACCGCCACAUGCAAGCCAGAGUUCUGAGGGAGAGAGACCCACUGGAAGACAGUCAGGAGGAAAUAGGAGAAAGUUGAGCUGAUACACUGAGCAGCGGAUAAGCCAUCACAGAAAGGGAUCUGUUUGACUCCAGGACACAACGAUUAUCUGUUCUUGCCCUCUGCAAGGACUGGUGAUUGAACUCAGGACCUUGUGCUUGCAAGGCAGGGCAUCGAACUCAGGACCUUGAGCUUGUGAGGCAGGCUCGGUGCCACUCAGCUAAAUCCCUAGCUGAAAGAGGAUCUUGCUGUGUUCUCCAGGAGUUCCUGGUGUCACCUAAUCUUCCUGCCUCAGCUACCUGAGUAGAUGGGACUACAGGCGUGUACCACGAU